rnacentral:rRNA from 1 species
GACGAACGCUGGCGGCGUGCUUAACACAUGCAAGUCGAACGGAAAGGCCCUGCUUUUGUGGGGUGCUCGAGUGGCGAACGGGUGAGUAACACGUGAGUAACCUGCCCUUGACUUUGGGAUAACUUCAGGAAACUGGGGCUAAUACCGGAUAGGAGCUCCUGCUGCAUGGUGGGGGUUGGAAAGUUUCGGCGGUUGGGGAUGGACUCGCGGCUUAUCAGCUUGUUGGUGGGGUAGUGGCUUACCAAGGCUUUGACGGGUAGCCGGCCUGAGAGGGUGACAGGCCACAUUGGGACUGAGAUACGGCCCAGACUCCUACGGGAGGCAGCAGUGGGGAAUAUUGCACAAUGGGCGGAAGCCUGAUGCAGCAACGCCGCGUGCGGGAUGACGGCCUUCGGGUUGUAAACCGCUUUCGCCUGUGACGAAGCGUGAGUGACGGUAAUGGGAAAAGAAGCACCGGCUAACUACGUG